rnacentral:rRNA from 1 species
AUUGAACGCUGGCGGCAGGCCUAACACAUGCAAGUCGAGCGGAUGAAGGGAGCUUGCUCCUGGAUUCAGCGGCGGACGGGUGAGUAAUGCCUAGGAAUCUGCCUGGUAGUGGGGGAUAACGUCCGGAAACGGGCGCUAAUACCGCAUACGUCCUGAGGGAGAAAGUGGGGGAUCUUCGGACCUCACGCUAUUAGAUGAGCCUAGGUCGGAUUAGCUAGUUGGUGGGGUAAAGGCCUACCAAGGCGACGAUCCGUAACUGGUCUGAGAGGAUGAUCAGUCACACUGGAACUGAGACACGGUCCAGACUCCUACGGGAGGCAGCAGUGGAGAAUAUUGGACAAUGGGCGAAAGCCUGAUACAGCCAUGCCGCGUGUGAAGAAGGUCUUCGGAUUGUAAAGCACUUUAAGUUGGGAGGAAGGGCAGUAAGUUAAUACCUUGCUGUUUUGACGUUACCAACAGAAUAAGCACCGGCUAACUUCGUG